CUCACCCCAAAGCUAUCGUUACACUGCGCCGCCGCCACCGCCCUUCGUUCAAUACCUUUCUUCAUUCACCCCCGCAGAUAAUAACCUUGCAGGUUUCUAGUAUGACCACAAGGAAGGCGACAGUGCGCAAGACCUCAACCUUCUGGCCACACCACUCCGGGAUCGAUCAUGGCAUCGACCGGUGGCGGUGCACGGGUGCAGUGUCAGUGUGGCUCGGGCCGUGGGCCCAUGGCAGCAGAACUACCAACAGCUAGACAGUCAUGACCUUAAUAUCAAUCCUUGUUCUUUCAGUUUUGUGUACUGUGGCUAUGUUCUGUAGUUUGCUUAAAAAAUGUCGCGCAGUACCUACAUACUUGUUUACUCUGAUUUUAUAUAGCUUUGCUUGUACCUUGAAAGUAAUUAUCGUUAUGUGAAGAGGUUGAUAGCAAAUUUCUGAAC